UACGUAGGUGGCAAGCGUUACUCGGAAUCACUAGGCGUAAAGCGCAGGUAGGAGGUUCGAUAAGUCUGUUGUGAAAGCUCCCGGCUUAACUGGGAGAGGUCAACGGAAACUGUCGAGCUAGAGUGUGGUAGAGGUAGCUGGAAUUCCCGGUGUAGUGGUGAAAUGCGUAGAUAUCCGGAGGAACACCAGUGGCGAAGGCGACUUUCUGGCCUGUUCUUGACGCUGAGGCGCGAAAGCUAGGGGAGCAAACGGG
rnacentral:rRNA from 1 species